rnacentral:rRNA from 1 species
UACGAACUGUGCAAACGUUAUUCGGAAUCACUGGGCUUAAAGGGUGCGUAGGCGGCUAUUUAAGUAGGGUGUGAAAGCCCCCGGCUCAACCGGGGAAUUGCGUCCUAAACUGGAUAGCUCGAGUGAGAUAGAGGUGUGCGGAACUUCCGGUGGAGCGGUGAAAUGUGUUGAUAUCGGAAGGAACGCCGGUGGCGAAAGACGGCACACUGGGUCUCAACUGACGCUGAGGCACGAAAGCCAGGGAGCAAACAGG